rnacentral:rRNA from 1 species
UACGGGGGGGGCAAGCGUUGUUCGGAAUUACUGGGCGUAAAGGGCUCGUAGGCGGCCAACUAAGUCAGACGUGAAAUCCCUCGGCUUAACCGGGGAACUGCGUCUGAUACUGGAUGGCUUGAGUUCGGGAGAGGGAUGCGGAAUUCCAGGUGUAGCGGUGAAAUGCGCAGAUAUCAGGAAGAACACCCGUGGCGAAGGCGGCUCUCUGGGACGGUACUGACGCUGAGACGCGAAAGCGUGGGGAGCGAACAGG